rnacentral:rRNA from 7 species
GAGGGAAAGUUGAAAAGAACUUUGAAGAGAGAGUUCAAGAGUACGUGAAACCGUUCAGGGGUAAACCUGAGGAACCCAAAAGAUCGAAUGGGGAGAUUCAUCGUCAGCGACGCUGACUGCACGGUGGCAAGUGAUGCAACGGGGCUUCGGCCUCGGGGUACGCGGCCAUCGCGUAUGUCCGGCGUCGUCGGCGUGCACUUCUCCCCUAGUAGGACGUCGCGACCCGUUGGGUGCCGGUCUAAGGCCCGGGUGGUAGCCUGUCUCGUCGCUUCGGCGAUCCGAGGCAGACCCCCGGUUGCCAGUCGCCGGCUGCCCGGCGGUACUCGCAUGGUAUCGGGCCGCAAAAUCGAACUGCGUCGGGCCCGUCGCAAGCGCGAUCAGUGUUUCACGGAUGUACGGACCCAGUGCCGUCACCGUGCCUGAUCAGCUGUUGGUUUGACGGUGUUCUCCGACUGGCCAUUGAACGAUAAUGAUACCGGUCAGCGACGCUACUGCUUUGGGUAAUCUCAGGACCCGUCUUGAAACACGG